rnacentral:tRNA from 1 species
GGGGCAGGACGAUGUCGACGACGAGGAAGGCCGCUCGCGGACCCUCGACGGACCAGGGUUCGAUUCCCUGCUGCCCCACCA